rnacentral:rRNA from 1 species
UACGUAGGAGGCAAGCGUUGUCCGGAAUUACUAGGGCGUAAACGCGUGGUAGGUGGUGGGACAAGUCUGCUGUAGAAAGUGCCUGGCUUAACCGGGCGGAGGUCGGCGGAAACGUGUCCGACUCGAGGACGGUAGGAGGGGGUGGAAUUCCGGUGUAGUGGUGAAAUGCGUAGAGAUCGGGAGGAACACCUGUGGCGAAGGCGGAUUCGUCUGGGCAUUACCGUGACGCUGAGGAGCGAAAGUGUGGGGAGCGAACGA